ACUUGUUUUUCUUCCACCGCUGAGGCAAAUGCGGGGUGGCCGAUCACCUGGCAGACAUCUUAGGAAACAGGAGCACCGGUCUGGGAAACUGCUGGCCUGGCCUAACACCUGGCGCUGUGGUGCAGGCAAGAGGGCAGCCACUGAGGAUUCUUGAGGAGAGAGAGACCAUAGAAUGAAUGAAAGAGUUGGAAAGACUUUAAAGCUCUGGGAGGCUGAAUCCUUUAUUUCGCUGGAAGAAAAACUGAAUGCCAAGAGGGCCUCACUUUCCCCAGAGCUAUACAGACAUCAGGGGCAAUGCUGGGAUUCCCCCAUGGAUCUCUUGACUCCUAAUACAGUGCUCUUCCUGAUAUGCCAUCUCGCUCCGUAAUGAACAUUGUGUUCCAGGAAAAUCAGUCUGCGCUGAACAGGAUGGAAUUGGGGCAGGACGUCCAGUGAGGAGGACAUUGAGGCAGUAGAGCAGUUGAUUGCCGAAUGACCACCUACCCUGACUUAAAAGAUCAACCUCAGGGUGGAUUGGAGCUUUCUAGAGUCUCUUGGGACAGCAGAAGCACAGGCCGGGUUGGACUGAAUCUUUAAGUGGACAUGAGGGACAAAGUACCUCCUGUUGGUAAACAUCUCACCACCAACCCACUGUGGUGGCUA
rnacentral:antisense_RNA from 1 species